rfam:Oryza rufipogon genomic scaffold, chr11
AAAAAAAUAAAUCUUGGGUUUCCGUGUCCAACUUUAAUUGUCCGCUUUAUAUGAAUUUUUUUUAUAAUUCGUAUUUUUUAUUGUUGUUAGAUGAUAAACAUGAUUAAUAUUUUAUGCGUGACUUGUCUUUUUAAUUUUUUUCAUAAUUUUUUCAAAUAAGACGGACGGUCAAACAUUGGGUACGGAAUCUAGGGUUUGUCUUUUU